AACUUGAGAGUUUGAUCAUGGCUCAGAACGUACGCUGGCGGCACGCCUAACACAUGCAAGUCGAACGAAGUAGCAAUACUUAGUGGCAGACGGGUGAGUAACAUGUAGGUAUCUGCCCUUUGGCCUGGAAUAACACGAGGAAACUUGUGCUAAUACCGGAUAAGUCUUUACGGAGAAAGCUUUAUGCACCAUUGGAUGAGCCUGCACUUGAUUAGUUUGUUGGUGGGGUAAUGGCCUACCAAGACUGUGAUCAAUAGCUGAUUUGAGAGGAUGAUCAGCCACAUUGGGACUGAGACACGGCCCAAACUCCUACGGGAGGCAGCAGUGGGGAAUCUUGCACAAUGGAGGAAACUCUGAUGCAGCGAUGCCGCGUGAGUGAAGAAGGCCCUUGGGUUGUAAAGCUCUUUCGUCGGGGAAGAAAAUGACUGUACCCGAAUAAGAAGGUCCGGCUAACUUCGUGCCAGCAGCCGCGGUAAUACGAAGGGACCUAGCGUAGUUCGGAAUUACUGGGCUUAAAGAGUUCGUAGGUGGUUGAAAAAGUUAGUGGUGAAAUCCCAGAGCUUAACUCUGGAACUGCCAUUAAAACUUUUCAGCUAGAGUAUGAUAGAGGAAAGCAGAAUUUCUAGUGUAGAGGUGAAAUUCGUAGAUAUUAGAAAGAAUACCAAUUGCGAAGGCAGCUUUCUGGAUCAUUACUGACACUGAGGAACGAAAGCAUGGGUAGCGAAGAGGAUUAGAUACCCUCGUAGUCCAUGCCGUAAACGAUGUGUGUUAGACGUUGGAAAUUUAUUUUCAGUGUCGCAGCGAAAGCGAUAAACACACCGCCUGGGGAGUACGACCGCAAGGUUAAAACUCAAAUGAAUUGACGGGGACCCGCACAAGUAGUGGAGCAUGUGGUUUAAUUCGAAGAUACGCGCAGAACCUUACCAACACUUGACAUGUUCGUCGCGACUCUAAGAGAUUAGAGUUUUCGGUUCGGCCGGACGAAACACAGGUGCUGCAUGGCUGUCGUCAGCUCGUGUCGUGAGAUGUUGGGUUAAGUCCCGCAACGAGCGCAACCCUCACUUUUAGUUGCCAUCAUUAAGUUGGGCACUCUGAAAGAACUGCCAGUGAUAAGCUGGAGGAAGGUGGGGAUGACGUCAAGUCCUCAUGGCCCUUACGUGUUGGGCUACACACGUGCUACAAUGGUAUCUACAACAGGAAGCAAGACUGCGAAGUUAAGCAAAUCCCUAAAAGAUACCUCAGUUCGGAUUGCACUCUGCAACUCGAGUGCAUGAAGCUGGAAUUACUAGUAAUCGUGGAUCAGCGUGCCACGGUGAAUGCGUUCCCGGGUCUUGUACACACCGCCCGUCACACCAUGGGAGUUGGUUCUACCUUAAGGCAAGGUUUCAAACCCUUGACCACGGUAUAGUCAGCGACUGGGGUGAAGUCGUAACAAGGUAGCCGUAGGGGAACCUGCGGCUGGAUUACCUCCUUUCUAA
rnacentral:rRNA from 1 species